rnacentral:rRNA from 1 species
CCUACGGGUGGCAGCAGUGAGGAAUAUUGGUCAAUGGACGCAAGUCUGAACCAGCCAUGCCGCGUGCAGGAAGACGGCUCUAUGAGUUGUAAACUGCUUUUGUACGUGGAUAAAUCCCGAUACGUGUAUCGGUUUGAAAGUAUCGUACGAAUAAGGAUCGGCUAACUCCGUUCCCGCAUCCGCGGUAAUACGGAGGAUCCACGCGUUAUCCGGAUUUAUUGGGUUUAAAGGGUGCGUAGGUGGUUCGAUAAGUGAGAGGUGAAAUCUCGGGGCUCAACUCCGGCACUGCAUUUGAUACUGUCGGCCUAGAGUUUAGUUGCGGUAGGCGGAAUGUGUGGUGUAGCGGUGAAAUGCAUAGAGAUCAUGAAGAACACCGAUUGCGAAGGCAGCUUACCAAACUACGACUGACGUUGAGGCACGAAAGCGUGGGGAGCAAACAGGAUUAGAUACCCUAGUAGUC